UACGGGGGGUCCUAGCGUUGUUCGGAAUUACUGGGCGUAAAGCGUUUGUAGGCGGCUUUGUAAGUUAAAUGUGAAAGCCUGGGCCUAACCCCAGAAGUGCAUUUAAUACUGCAAAGCUUGAGUAUGAGAGAGGAUGAUGGAAUGGCUGGUGUAGUGGUGAAAUACGUAGAUAUCAGCCGGAACAUCGGUGGCGAAAGCGGUCAUCUGGCUCAAUACUGACGCUGAGAAACGAAAGCGUGGGGAUCAAACAGG
rnacentral:rRNA from 1 species